UGGCCACAGACUGAUCUAGCUGGCUAGCAGGUGCCUCCUUUCCCUGUCACUGCCCCUGUGGUAUGAACCCCCCUAAAGCUUCCUAUGCAGUCUAAGGGGUGGCCUACCCCGAGAGAGAAAAACUUUCUUUGGUCAAGAGUACAAGAGUAGCUCUACUCCCCUGCUAGAACCUUCAAACAAGGAAAUGAGGCAUUGCCUGUGGCAAUCUGCCUUGAAAAGUUU
ensembl:misc_RNA 7SK 7SK RNA